rnacentral:rRNA from 1 species
AUUGAACGCUGGCGGCAUGCUUUACACAUGCAAGUCGAGCGGCAGCGCGGGGGGCAACCCUGGCGGCGAGCGGCGAACGGGUGAGGAAACCAUCGGAACGUGCCCGAGAGUGGGGGAUAACGCCGCGAAAGCGGCGCUAAUACCGCAUAUUCUCUGAGGAGGAAAGUGGGGGACCGCAAGGCCUCACGCUCCCGGAGCGGCCGAUGUCGGAUUAGCUAGUUGGUGGGGUAAAGGCUUACCAAGGCGACGAUCCGUAGCUGGUCUGAGAGGAUGAUCAGCCACACUGGGACUGAGACACGGCCCAGACUCCUACGGGAGGCAGCAGUGGGGAAUUUGGACAAUGGGGGCAACCCUGAUCCAGCCAUGCCGCGUGCGGGAAGAAGGCCUUC